AACUGUGAAGUACCCAUUAAAUGGGUACCGAAUACCCAUUUUUAUGGCCAGUACUGAGUUGUCAGAAAAAGGGUAUUUUUUAAAUGUCACAAAAAGGGUACUUAUUCCCCAUGAGGAAGUUUCUAUUCGUUUUACAAUGAUGGGUAAAUAAUACGCGGGAUGGUUUGACGAGUAGCAUCUCCAUUUUGAAAUUUCUUUUGCAUUCAUGUUUUCUGUGGUGAUAUUGAAAUCUAUUUUUGGUGCCGGAACUAUUGUAAUAGCAAGCUGGAAAUCAUAUUCAAGAUAUCUUUGAAGAACCCGGAUAUUGUUGCGGCACAACAGUUUGCGGAGCCGAUAUCCAAUGUGCAAAGUUGGAAAACCGAGAAAGAGUAUCGGGAGCAUCGGAUCGUACAGAUUCAAAAUAUGAAGAAAAACUAAAACAAAUUGUUAGUGAUAAUGACAUGACAUAAUAAAUACGAAAUUCUUUUAUAUUAUACUGA
rnacentral:lncRNA from 1 species